rnacentral:rRNA from 1 species
CCUGAUCCAGCCAUGCCGCGUGAGUGAUGAAGGCCUUAGGGUCGUAAAGCUCUUUCGCCUGUGAAGAUAAUGACGGUAGCAGGUAAAGAAACCCCGGCUAACUCCGUGCCAGCAGCCGCGGUAAUACGGAGGGGGUUAGCGUUGUUCGGAAUUACUGGGCGUAAAGCGCACGUAGGCGGAUCGGAAAGUUGGGGGUGAAAUCCCGGGGCUCAACCCCGGAACUGCCUCCAAAACUAUCGGUCUAGAGUUCGAGAGAGGUGAGUGGAAUUCCGAGUGUAGAGGUGAAAUUCGUAGAUAUUCGGAGGAACACCAGUGGCGAAGGCGGCUCACUGGCUCGAUACUGACGCUGAGGUGCGAAAGUGUGGGGAGCAAACAGGAUUAGAUACCCUGGUAGUCCACACCGUAAACGAUGAAUGCUCAUCGUCGGAUAGCAUGCUAUUCGGUGACACACCUAACGGAUUAAGCAUUCCGCCUGG